UUAUUCUCUGGCUCUUUCUUCGUUCUCAAAUUCUCAUAACAAUUAAAAAAAUAUCCUUUUUUAAUUCUGUUUUCUUCAUUUUUUUUCCUUCUAGGAUUCUAAUUAAUGUUUCAUUCUGAUUUCUUCAUCUUUCCUGCUAGGGUUUGGAUCUGUGUUUAGUUUGCCAAAAUGGUAAUCGUACCUCAUUGUCUCUCUUUUCUCUUACGCUUCUCCUCCAUAUGCACGUUUUUUUACCAAUCGUGAGUAAUUUUGGCUUUUGAACUGUUUAAUUGUUUGAUUUAGAUUUCACUUUCAAUUCCGAUUGGGGAAUUCAUUUCCCGUUCCGCAUCGCAUGAAUUUCGCAUUCCAUCUGCCUUGACGGCGGAGAGGGUGGCGGUGCUAUCGUCGCCGAUGAGUUUGAGGGUCUGUGACGCAGACGGUGAACGGAUCGCACAAGUUUGUGAUCCUAUACACUGAAAAUUGUAUAUAUGAGGUUCUACACGACUUAUCACUCACAGGUGAAAUGAUGCACCCAGUGCCAAUAAUUAUUUUUGGGUGCUGCAGAUAAGGCGAUAUGGGCUGUUGGUGCUGUUGUUGUUCUACCAAGGAAACUGAAUUGAGCGCUCCACCUGCAUACUAUUAUAAACAGGUUGAUAAGAACCUCGCCUAGAACCUACCACAAUCCCUGCGUGUUGCAAGAAAAUUGGCACCUGAUUCAAUCCCUCACUGCGCACGCCAGAUCCAUGCUUUUCUUGCUCUCAACUCACUUUUAAGAUUGAUAACUUGGCCCAUGAACUUGCCACAUCAUCUUGACGGGCUUGCUCUAGUUUUUCCUUGAUGGAGAUCACCCAUUCAGAUUCUUGUGAGCUUGCUUCUUCCUUCAAAUUUUCACCAUCUUCAUUGAUGAUAACCUGCAAUGGUUCUGAAGGCUCCUGCUGAAGCUUUUGCUGCUGUUGAGGAGGCUUCUCUGGAAACUCAGUUGAUGAUGGAAUCAUGGAUUCUAAUGUUUCUUUGAGUUUAAGAGUGAUAAGCUUCCUGAUUAUCACGAUGUGAUUGAGCAUCCCAUGGACUUUGCCACCGUGAGGAAGAAGAUGGCAAAUGGAUCUUAUCCUACCUUAGAACAAUUUGAGGGUGUGGAGCUCGUGGACAACAAAUACUUUAUCACCCCUGACAAUGUUGGUGUGCUGAAGAUGGCAAAGGAAGCAAAUGCGAUCCUGGUACACGUGUAAUAUUUAACAGAGGGAGAAUAUUUUUACUAUCAAAAUUUUCUAUUACUAAUUAAGUUAGUGUACUUAAUUUUAUUUGUGCUAAAAAUAAAAUGGAGAUGCUAAAAAUUGACUCUUAUUCUGAAUUGAUAAUUGUAACAGUAACAGAUUAACAGUAUGGAAUGUCAUUUCGGAUUACCUUUAAACAGUUUUAGAAUUUGUUCAGGUUAUUCUUGAAGGUCAAUGGCACUUGCUGCAAUUGGAGCAACAACUAUACUAGAUUACUUAUGUUUAAACAUUUUAGUUGUAUUGACAUUGUGAUUUUUUUACGAUUAAUUUGUAAAAGAGUUAUGUACUUUG